rnacentral:miRNA from 1 species
CAUAUUUAGCACGACUGGCUGU